GCCCGCCUAGCUCAAUCGGAUAGAGCGUCAGACUUUUAAGAUCAUUUCAAUCUGAAGGCUGCGAGUUCGACCCUCGCGGUGGGCU
rnacentral:tRNA from 1 species